CGACUUCCCCGCUAGUCUCAACCGUGAACUCGGCGAAAUUGCAUUACGAGUAAAGAUGCUCGUUACGCGCAGAACGGACGGAAAGACCCCGUGACCUUUACUAUAGUUUGGUAUUGGUGUUCGGUGUGGCUUGUGUAGGAUAGGUGGGAGACUGUGAAGCGGGCACGCCAGUGUUCGUGGAGUCAUCGUUGAAAUACCACUCUGGUCACUCUGGAUAUCUAACUUCGGCCCGUGAUCCGGGUCAGGGACAGUGCCUGAUGGGUAGUUUAACUGGGGCGGUUGCCUCCCAAAAUGUAACGGAGGCGCCCAAAGGUCCCCUCAGCCUGGUUGGCAAUCAGGUGUCGAGUGCAAGUGCACAAGGGGGCUUGACUGUGAGAGUGGCAGCUCGAGCAGGGACGAAAGUCGGGACUAGUGAUCCGGCGGCUCGUUGUGGAACGGCCGUCGCUCAACGGAUAAAAGGUACCUCGGGGAUAACAGGCUGAUCUUGCCCAAGAGUCCAUAUCGACGGCAUGGUUUGGCACCUCGAUGUCGGCUCGUCGCAUCCUGGGGCUGGAGUAGGUCCCAAGGGUUGGCUGUUCGCCCAUUAAAGCGGUACGCGAGCUGGGUUCAGAACGUCGUGAGACAGUUCGGUCCCUAUCCUCUGCGCGCGUUGGAAAUUUGAGAAGGUCUGUCCUUAGUACGAGAGGACCGGGACGGACGAACCUCUGGUAUGUCAGUUGUACCGCCAGGUGCAUGGCUGAUUAGCUACGUUCGGGAUGGAUAACCGCUGAAAGCAUCUAAGCGGGAAGCCGGCUUCGAGAUGAGAUUUCCUUGCCCCUUUGAGGGUGUGAGGCCCCCAGCUAGAACACUGGGUUGAUAGGCUGGAUGUGGAAGCGAGGACUGAAGACUCGUGAAGCUGACCAGUACUAAUAGGCCGAUGACUUACACACA
rnacentral:rRNA from 1 species